rnacentral:lncRNA from 1 species
GCUCUGCCCUCUUUGUGAUCGGGUCACGGCCAUUAAGCUCUUCUCGAACGGAUGCGCUGACGAACGUAUAUGCCUGAGUUGCGGAAGCUGUGCCCA